GUGGGGAAUAUUGGACAAUGGGCGAAAGCCUGAUCCAGCGACGCCGCGUGGGCGAUGAAGGCCUUCGGGUCGUAAAGCCCUGUCGGGUGGAACGAAGUGCCGCCGGGAAUAAUACCCCGGUGUCUUGACGGUACCGCCAAAGGAAGCACCGGCUAACUCUGUGCCAGCAGCCGCGGUAAGACAGAGGGUGCAAGCGUUGUUCGGAAUUAUUGGGCGUAAAGCGCGUGUAGGUUGCCUUGUGUGUCAGGUGUGAAAUCCCCGGGCUCAACCCGGGACGCGCACUUGAAACUGCAGGGCUGGAGUGCGAGAGAGGGAAGCGGAAUUCCCGGUGUAGAAGUGAAAUUCGUAGAUAUCGGGAGGAACACCAGUGGCGAAGGCGGCUUCCUGGAUCGCAACUGACACUGAGACGCGAAAGCGUGGGUAGCAAACAGGAUUAGAAACCCCUGUAGUCC
rnacentral:rRNA from 1 species